rnacentral:rRNA from 1 species
GACGAACGCUGGCGGCGUGCUUAACACAUGCAAGUCGAACGGAAGGGCCUCUUUCGGGGGGUACUCGAGUGGCGAACGGGUGAGUAACACGUGAGUAACCUGCCCUUGACUUUGGGAUAACUUCAGGAAACUGGGGCUAAUACCGGAUAGGAGCUCCUGCUGCAUGGUGGGGGUUGGAAAGUUUCGGCGGUUGGGGAUGGACUCGCGGCUUAUCAGCUUGUUGGUGGGGGAGUGGCUUACCAAGGCUUUGACGGGUAGCCGGCCUGAGAGGGUGACCGGCCACAUUGGGACUGAGAUACGGCCCAGACUCCUACGGGAGGCAGCAGUGGGGAAUAUUGCACAAUGGGUGGAAGCCUGAUGCAGCAACGCCGUGUGCGGGAUGACGGCCUUCGGGUUGUAAACCGCUUUCGCUCAUGACGAAGCUUUGUGUGACGGUAGUGGGUAAAGAAGCACCGGCUAACUACGUG